GAGUGACAAGUUCUAAAUUAGAUUCUAGGUUUCACUGUCAUGCUGAAAUCAAAAAGAGGACUCAGCUAAUGUGGUGCUCUUGUGGAAAUAAACCUUCAAAUAAUUCCAUUUGCUGUGUCAUAUAUAGUCAGCCAAGACACUAAGGGAAAGGUUCUUGUUGGUUAAUCCCAGUCUUUAAUUUAUGGUUUCCAUGAUCACUGUCAAAGUGCAGAUAAUCUCCCUGUUUCCUUGAAUCUCUGUAAAUCCCUUUUGCUGACAUGCAGUGACAUUAUAUAUUACUAUGCCUAUAUCUAGAGGACAUUGGCAUGCACGCAGGGGGAAUAGGGAUUAUUAUUUUUCUAGUAAGAGGGAUGCAGUGUGCAUGCAUGGUUUAACAAUGGCC